rnacentral:rRNA from 1 species
GAGGGCAAGUCUGGUGCCAGCAGCCGCGGUAAUUCCAGCUCCAAUAGCGUAUAUUAAAAUUGUUGCAGUUAAAAAGCUCGUAGUUGAAUUUCUGCUGCUCCGCAUUUUCCCUUUGAGGGGUUUUUGCGCUGUGGCUUAUUUCGGACUGUGUUUCGCACUGUCCGGAUGUUUACUUUGAGAAAAUUAGAGUGCUCAAAGCAGGCUUUUGCCUUGAAUAGUUUAGCAUGGAAUAAUAAAGUAGGACUUUGGUUCUAUUUUGUUGGUUUUAGGUACCAAAGUAAUGGUUAAUAGGAACAGUUGGGGGCAUUCGUAUUUAACUGUCAGAGGUGAAAUUCUUAGAUUUGUUAAAGACGAACUACUGCGAAAGCAUUUGCCAAGGAUGUUUUCAUUAAUCAAGAACGAAAGUUAGGGGAUCGAAGACGAUCAGAUACCGUCGUAGUCCUAACCAUAAACUAUGCCGACUAGAGAUUGGAGGUCGUCAGUUUUUACGACUCCUUCAGCACCUUGAGGG